GCCUGGGUGGCUCAGUUGGUUAAGCUUCUGACUUCGGCUCAGGUCAUGAUCUCACGGUCCGUGAGUUCGAGCCCCAUGUCAGGCU
rnacentral:tRNA from 1 species